GCGGCGUUAGCUCAGUUGGUAGAGCACUGGAUUGUGAUUCCAGAUGUCACCGGUUCAAUCCCGGUACGUCGCCCCA
rnacentral:tRNA from 1 species